GGCUGGUCCGAGUGCAGUGGUUUAUGACUAAUUAAUCACAACCAGUUACAGAUUUCUUUGUUCUUUCUCUACUCCCACUGCUUCACUUGGCUAGCCUUUA
ensembl:misc_RNA Y_RNA Y RNA